UUAGCGGCGGACGGGUGAGUAACACGUGGAUAACCUACCUAUAAGACUGGGAUAACUUCGGGAAACCGGAGCUAAUACCGGAUAAUAUAUUGAACCGCAUGGUUCAAUAGUGAAAGACGGUUUUGCUGUCACUUAUAGAUGGAUCCGCGCCGCAUCAGCUAGUUGGUAAGGUAACGGCUUACCAAGGCAACGAUGCGUAGCCGACCUGAGAGGGUGAUCGGCCACACUGGAACUGAGACACGGUCCAGACUCCUACGGGAGGCAGCAGUAGGGAAUCUUCCGCAAUGGGCGAAAGCCUGACGGAGCAACGCCGCGUGAGUGAUGAAGGUCUUCGGAUCGUAAAACUCUGUUAUUAGGGAAGAACAAAUGUGUAAGUAACUAUGCACGUCUUGACGGUACCUAAUCAGAAAGCCACGGCUAACUACGUGCCAGCAGCCGCGGUAAUACGUAGGUGGCAAGCGUUAUCCGGAAUUAUUGGGCGUAAAGCGCGCGCAGGCGGUUUUUUAAGUCUGAUGUGAAAGCCCACGGCUCAACCGUGGAGGGUCAUUGGAAACUGGAAAACUUGAGUGCAGAAGAGGAAAGUGGAAUUCCAUGUGUAGCGGUGAAAUGCGCAGAGAUAUGGAGGAACACCAGUGGCGAAGGCGACUUUCUGGUCUGUAACUGACGCUGAUGUGCGAAAGCGUGGGGAUCAAACAGGAUUAGAUACCCUCGUAGUCCACGCCGUANACGAUGAGUGCUAAGUGUUAGGGGGUUUCCGCCCCUUAGUGCUGCAGCUAACGCAUUAAGCACUCCGCC
rnacentral:rRNA from 1 species